GCAUCUAAGCGUGAAGCCCACCUCAAGAUGAGAUAUCCAAAGACCCCUUUAAGAGUAAGAGGUAGAUAGGGCGGAGGUGGAAGCACAGUAAUGUGUGCAGCUGACCGUUACUAAUAGGUCUGAUGCUUUUUUGAUC
rnacentral:rRNA from 1 species